rnacentral:rRNA from 1 species
GCAUGGAUUAGGCAUGCAAGUCGCACGAGAAAUCCGGUUUCGAUCGGAGAGUACAGUGGCGAAAGGGUGAGUAAUACCUAGACAACCUGCCCUUGAGACUGGCACAACCCUCGGAAACGUGGCUAAUUCCAGAUACGUUCCCCCGCUUCAUGGUGGGGGAAGAAAGGUGGGGACCCCCAAAAGGGGCCUACCGCUCAAGGAGGGGUCGAGGCCGUAUCAGCUUGUUGGUGAGGUAACGGCUCACCAAGGCUUCGAUGCGUACGGGGCCUGGGAGGGUGUUCCCGCACACUGGGACUGAGACACUGCCCAGACUCCUACGGGAGGCUGCAGUCGUGAAUCUUCCGCAAUGGGCGCAAGCCUGAUGGAGCGACGCCGCGUGGAGGACGAAUGCCUUCGGGUUGUAAACUCCUGUUGGGGGGUAUGAGGGGGUGGAGUGCUAAUAUCACUUCGCCCUGACGUCAACCCCUGAGGAAGCCACGGCUAAUUCCGUGCCAGCAGCCGCGGUAAUACGGAAGUGGCAAGCGUUGUUCGGAUUCACUGGGCUCAAAGGGCACGCAGGCGGCUGGGUAUGUCCGGUGUGAAAUCCCUCGGCCUAACCGAGGAAUUGCACUGGAAACUGCCUGGCUUGAGGGCAGGAGAGGCGAGUGGAACUCCUGGUGUAGCGGUGAAAUGCGUAGAUAUCAGGAGGAACGCCGGAGGCGAAAGCGACUCGCUGGACUGUCCCUGACGCUGAGGUGCGAAAGCCAGGGGAGCGAACGGGAUUAGAUACCCCGGUAGUCCUGGCUGUAAACGAUGGCCACUAGGUGGGAGAGGUUCCGAUACUGCUCCUGCCGUAGCAAAAGCGUUAAGUGGCCCGCCUGGGG